ensembl:lncRNA
CUUAACCAACACACAACACACACGUUCUAUGUAUGAACAAACCUCCAUCACUGAAACUACUGACGCGAAACUGUAGCAGCGUUCGGUGAAGUGCCUGUUGGGGUGAGACCAGAUCACAUUGUGGCUGAGCUCCAGAGAUGCAGUAGGGAGAUGGGAGAAAGUUCCACAAAAUUAUCAACUAUCACUGCAGCCCUCCACCAGUCGGGGCUUUAUGGCAGAGUGCCCCGGCGGCAGCCUCUUUUCAGUGAAAGAGGAUCUGCAAGGAAGAAUAGCAGAGGAUCCCCAAAUCCAGAAUCUAACCCACAACUCCAGCGAGCCUUUGGGGGAAACGGGGGGACAUGAUGGCGGGUAUCAUGGUGUGGGCUUCUCUCAGCGCUCUCCUCUCUCUGGUCGGGUGUCCCGCGUGUGUCCUCGUCCUCCGUCCUCUGUACAGAAGACUCAAAGCAGGAACCCCGUUCUCCCCCAACGACUUCUUCAUGCUCAACCUCACCGUCAUGGACUUGGUCUUCUUGCUUUUCGUCCCGUUUGGGCUGUGCAACUUCCUCCUGUGGCACGCGAGGGCCGUUCAGUUGUUGAGCAACUUCCUGUACGCCUUGAACCUGGCCGGGCGACCCCUGCUCACGGCCUGCAUCUGUCUGGACUGCUUCCUGGCCGUGGUCCAUCCCGUCACCUACCACACCAGGAAGAGUCUGACCCCGCGGUUCCUCAUGGCCGCCGUCGUGU